GUAUUGCUCAGUGGUAGAGCAUUCGACUGCAGAUCGGGAGGUACCCGGUUCAAACCCGGAUGUCUGCA